AACCAUAGAAACCUGCGGAGUACCUGCGGAAGGAUCAUUACAGAGUUGCAAAACUCCCUAAACCAUUGUGAACGUUACCUAAACCGUUGCUUCGGCGGGCGGCCCGGGUCCUUCCCGGCGCCCCUCGGCCCUCGCGGGCGCCCGCCGGAGGUAAACCUAACUAUUGCAUUGUAUGGCCUCUCUGAGUCUUCUGUACUGAAUAAGUCAAAACUUUUAACAAUGGAUCUCAGAUCGGAAGAG
rnacentral:misc_RNA from 1 species